rnacentral:lncRNA from 1 species
UUCUUUCUUUCUUUCUUUCUUUCUUUCUUUCUUUGCAGUUAAUUUGACGUUUCUGUUUAUUUCAGUUAUUCACACUUGAACUGUGUAUUUUCCUUACUUUCUCUAUUUUUCUUUUUUUAAUUAGAUAUUUUCUUCAUUUACAUUUCAAAUGCUAUCCCCUUUCCUAGUUUCUUCUCUGAAAUUCCCCUAUACCCUCCUCUGCCCUGCUCCCCAACCCACCCACUCCUGCUACCUGACCCUGGCAUUCCCCUGUACUGGGGCAUAUAAUCUUUGCAAGACCAAGGGCCUCUCCUCCCAUUUAUGGCUGACUAGGCCAUCCUCUGCUACAUAUGCAACUAGAGACACAAGCUCUGGGGGUUACUGGUUAGUUCAUAUUGUUUUCCUCCUAUGGGGUUGCAGACCCCUUUAGCACCUAGGGUACUCUCUCUAGCUCCUUCAUUAGGUGCCCUGUGAUCCAUCCAAUAGAUGACUGUGAGCAUCCACUUCUGUAUUUGCCAGGCACUGGCAUAGCCUCACAAGAGAGAGCUAUAUCAGGAUCCUGUCAGCAAAAUCUUUCUGGCAUAUGCAAUAGUGCCUAGGUUUGGUGGUUGUUUAUGGGAUGGAUCCCUGGGUGGGGCAGUCUCUGGAUAGUUCUUCCUUCUGUUUCAGCUCCGAACUCUGUCUCAGGUGUUUUCUAGACCUCCCUAUUAUAGGGCCAUUCAUGGCUGUCAGUUUCCCACUGUACUUUGUCCUGCAGAAUGCCCAAAUCUCACAAAAUCUGAACCAGGACAAAUCUUCUCUUUUUUGUUUUUUCAAAAGUUUUCAUGAGGAGAGGCAAAUGAGUCAGAACAAAAAUUAGCAAGCUCACUACCUCUAUAUCCUCUAAUUCUUUGAAUCCUGGGAAGUCUAAAGUUGGACAUGCUCCCUAUCUCAACAACUCUGUAAAAACUUUGUCACAUAUUUCUUUGUAUAAAUGCAAAUCAGAGCCUUAUUUAAUUAUCUAUGGUUAUUUUUGCUUUUGCUUGAUUUUCUCAAUGCUUAAUUUUGUGCCUUGAUGUUGGAGCUAUUUCAAGAAGCUCUCUGAACCCUGGUAUAAUGAACUGAAAAUUAAUAAGUAAAAAUAAUCAGAAAUCUUUCUAGGCUAAGAAGUUUCCCUGCAUAACCUCAGCUCUCUGCUGAGUUGGUGAACAACCUUGAUUGUUAGUCAGUGGGUAAUUUUUGUAUAUGACUGUGUCCAACAGCCUUUCCUCUUAGCAUAUGUAGUUU